AUGCUGUCCUCUCAGACCCAGCCCUUUGACCCAGGUUUCCAAGAGGCUGAGCCAUGUACACGGCAAGAACAGACACAAACACGUCCUCUCAAGCCUGGCCUGCUACGAGUAUUGGGAGCUCGGCACGGUUCCUGUGUGGUGCUAAUCCCGCCGGCUUUACCUCCGAAGCUUAUGGAGAUCCACGACUCAGCGAGGAACAAAACUCAUGGAUACCAGAGACAUUCUGAAAGCCGUCCCAAACAGAGAGGGUCACAGACCAUUCAGCCAGCGUUGGCCCAGAGUUUGAAUCCUGCCUCAGACACUUGCUUAGCUAUGGAAACCAAGGCAAGUCACUCAACCUCUAUCUGCCUCAGUUUUCUCAUCUGCAAAAUGAGGAGAAUAAUAGCACCUUUCUCCCAGGCUUGUUUUAAGGAUCAGGCAAGAUAACACGCACAAAGUGCUUAAAUGAGGCUGUUAUGAUUGUUACAGUUAUUGUAGUCAUUGUUCUUUGUCCUUAAAUCUGGGGUCAUGAUGCCACCAAGAGUGGGACAAAGGCCAACCUUCGAAGAACAUAUACUUACUGUAGCUUCACACUUCAGUCCAUUGGGUUAGUGGAAACGCAGAGGUAGCAUGGGACAGUGAUGGGGGCACCACAGGACCAGAGCCAGCAGCCGACUCCGCCAUGUCCCGUGUGACUGAGCCCUGAUGUCUUCAUCUGCAAAAUGGCACCAGCUCCUCCUAGGGCUUAUGGAUGUGAGGCUGGUGCGUGAGGUUCACGGACGUGAAAAGUGCUUUGUCAUGGAAAAAGAACCAACGAGACUGUGAUUUAGUCAGUGACAGCCGUCUCAUUGCCUCCAGAUCUCCUCCUCCAAUAAGCUAGUCGGCUUCACCCCUUCAUCCUGUUUUUCUUUUUCACCAAACUGUCAAUGAACUGGGUAAAAACCAAAAUCCUGGGUCUUGGCUACCAAGAGUGUUGGUCCUGGUUUGUUUUGCAAGUGUACACACUUCUAACAAAUCAUUUAUCUGGAUGAUUCAUGGGUUUAUUAGUUAACUGUAACAGGGUUAUUUGUUUAAAAUUCAUUAAUAAAAAUAAUGCCAC
rnacentral:lncRNA from 1 species